rnacentral:misc_RNA from 1 species
AAAAAAGAGAAACGUCCCGUUUUUUUUCAUAAGAAUGGGUUCUAUUCCCUUAAACCGUGUCUACAUACCUUUGUUGCUUUGGCAGGCCGCCUUCGGGCGUCGGCUCCGGCUGAUAGUGCCUGCCAGAGGACCCAAAACUCUGAAUGUUAGUGUCGUCUGAGUACUAUAUAAUAGUUA